rnacentral:rRNA from 1 species
GACGAACGCUGGCGGCGUGCUUAACACAUGCAAGUCGAACGAAGAGCGAUGGAAGCUUGCUUCUAUCAAUCUUAGUGGCGAACGGGUGAGUAACGCGUAAUCAACCUGCCCUUCAGAGGGGGACAACAGUUGGAAACGACUGCUAAUACCGCAUACGAUCUAAUCUCGGCAUCGAGGAUAGAUGAAAGGUGGCCUCUACAUGUAAGCUAUCACUGAAGGAGGGGAUUGCGUCUGAUUAGCUAGUUGGAGGGGUAACGGCCCACCAAGGCGAUGAUCAGUAGCCGGUCUGAGAGGAUGAACGGCCACAUUGGGACUGAGACACAGCCCAGACUCCUACGGGAGGCAGCAGUGGGGAAUCUUCCGCAAUGGACGAAAGUCUGACGGAGCAACGCCGCGUGAGUGAUGACGGCCUUCGGGUUGUAAAGCUCGGUUAAUCGGGACGAAAGGCCUUCUUGCGAAUAGUGAGAAGGAUUGACGGUACCGGAAUAGAAAGCCACGGCUAACUACGUG